rnacentral:tRNA from 1 species
AGCAGCGUGGCUCAGUGGAAAGAGCCCGGGCUUGGGAGUCCGAUGUCAUGGGUUCGAUUCCCGGCUCUGCCG